rnacentral:rRNA from 1 species
UACGGGGGGGGCAAGCGUUGUUCGGAAUUACUGGGCGGAAAGGGCUCGUAGGCGGCCAACUAAGUCAGACGUGAAAUCCCUCGGCUUAACCGGGGAACUGCGUCUGAUACUGGAUGGCUUGAGAUUGGGAGAGGGAUGCGGAAUUCCAGGUGUAGCGGUGAAAUGCGCAGAUAUCAGGAGGAACACCGGUGGCGAAGGCGGGUCUCUGGGCCGAUAUUGACGCUGAGGAGCGAAAGCGUGGGGAGCGAACAGG